rnacentral:rRNA from 1 species
GACAGAGGUGCCGAGCGUUAGGCGGAAUCACUGGGCUUAAAGCGUGUGUAGGCGGACUUCUAAGUACCUUGUGAAAUCCCACGGCUUAACCGUGGAACUGCUUGGUAUACUGGUUGUCUUGGGCCAUCUAGGGGCUACUGGAACAAACGGUGGAGCGGUGAAAUGCGUAGAUAUCGUUUGGAACGCCAAUGGUGAAAACAAGUAGCUGGGGAUGUGCCGACGCUGAGACACGAAAGCCAGGGGAUCGAACGGG